UACAGAGGGUGCAAGCGUUAAUCGGAAUUACUGGGCGUAAAGCGUGCGCAGGCGGUUUGUUAAGUCUGCUGUGAAAUCCCCGAGCUCAACUUGGGAAUUGCAGUGGAUACUGGCAAGCUGGAGUACGGUAGAGGAAGGUGGAAUUCCCGGUGUAGCAGCGAAAUGCGUAGAGAUCGGGAGGAACACCAGUGGCGAAGGCGGCCUUCUGGACCAGUACUGACGCUCAUGCACGAAAGCGUGGGGAGCAAACAGG
rnacentral:rRNA from 1 species